AGCAGCCGCGGUAAUUCCAGCUCCAAUAGCGUAUAUUAAAGUUGUUGCAGUUAAAAAGCUCGUAGUUGAAUUUCGGGAUUGACACAUCGGUCGUGCCUUAAGGGGUGUGAACUGGUGUAGUCAAUUUCUCACCUUCUGGAGAACCGCGAUGUCCUUAAUUGGGUGCCGCGAGGAACCAGGACCUUUACUUUGAAAAAAUUAGAGUGUUUAAAGCAGGCAUUUUUGCUUGAAUACAUUAGCAUGGAAUAAUAAAAUAGGACGGCAUGAUUCUAUUUUGUUGGUUUCUAGGAUCACCGUAAUGAUUAAUAGGGAUAGUUGGGGGCAUUAGUAUUCAAUUGUCAGAGGUGAAAUUCUUGGAUUUAUUGAAGACUAACUACUGCGAAAGCAUUUGCCAAGGAUGUUUUCAUUAAUCAAGAACGAAAGUUAGGGGAUCGAAGACGAUCAGAUACC
rnacentral:rRNA from 1 species